UACGAACGCUGGCGGCGCGCCUAACACAUGCAAGUCGAACGAGAAGGCGUAGCAAUACGCUUGUAGAGUGGCGAACGGGUGAGUAAUACGUGGGUGACCUACCCUCGAGUGGGGAAUAACCCGCCGAAAGGCGGGCUAAUGCCGCGUACGCUUCCGUCCUCACGGGGACGGAAGGAAAGCUGUACCGUGGGUACGGCGCUCAAGGAUGGGCUCACGUCCUAUCAGCUUGUUGGUAGGGUAACGGCCACCAAGGCUACGACGGGUAGCUGGUCUGAGAGGACGAUCAGCCACACUGGCACUGCGACACGGGCCAGACUCCUACGGGAGGCAGCAGUGAGGAAUAUUGCGCAAUGGGCGAAAGCCUGACGCAGCGACGCCGCGUGGGGAUGAAGGUCUU
rnacentral:rRNA from 1 species